AGAGUUUGAUCCUGGCUCAGAUUGAACGCUGGCGGUAUGCCUAACACAUGCAAGUCGAACGAGGUAGCAAUACCUAGUGGCGGACGGGUGAGGAAUACGUAGGGAUCUGCCUUUAAGUGGGGGAUAACCCGGGGAAACCCGGAUUAAUACCGCAUGAUCUCGCAAGAGCAAAGUGGGGGAUCGCAAGACCUCACGCUUUUAGAGGAACCUACGUCGGAUUAGCUUGUUGGUGAGGUAAUGGCUCACCAAGGCGACGAUCCGUAACUGGUCUGAGAGGAUGAUCAGUCACACCGGAACUGAGACACGGUCCGGACUCCUACGGGAGGCAGCAGUGGGGAAUAUUGGACAAUGGGCGAAAGCCUGAUCCAGCAAUACCGCGUGUGUGAAGAAGGCCUUCGGGUUGUAAAGCACUUUAAGUUAGGAAGAAAAAACUUCAAUUAAUACUUGAAGUCUUGACGGUACCGACAGAAUAAGCACCGGCUAACUCUGUGCCAGCAGCCGCGGUAAUACAGAGGGUGCUAGCGUUAAUCGGAUUUACUGGGCGUAAAGCGUGCGUAGGCGGUUUGAUAAGUCGGUUGUGAAAGCCCCGGGCUCAACCUGGGAAUUGCGGCCGAUACUGUCAGACUAGAAAACGGUAGAGGGAGGCGGAACUCCAGGUGUAGCGGUGAAAUGCGUAGAUAUCUGGAAGAACACCGAUGGCGAAGGCAACCUCCUGGGCCUGUUUUGACGCUGAGGCACGAAAGCGUGGGUAGCAAACAGGAUUAGAUACCCUGGUAGUCC
rnacentral:rRNA from 1 species